rnacentral:rRNA from 1 species
UACGGGGGGUGCAAGCGUUAUCCGGAUUCACUGGGUUUAAAGGGUGCGUAGGUGGGCAGGUAAGUCAGUGGUGAAAUCUCCGGGCUUAACUCGGAAACUGCCAUUGAUACUAUCUUUCUUGAAUACCGUGGAGGUCAGCGGAAUAUGUCAUGUAGCGGUGAAAUGCUUAGAUAUGACAUAGAACACCAAUUGCGAAGGCAGCUGGCUACACGAAUAUUGACACUGAUGCACGAAAGCGUGGGGAUCAAACAGG